rnacentral:rRNA from 1 species
GACGAACGCUGGCGGCGUGCUUAAUACAUGCAAGUCGAACGGAAAGGCCCUGCUUUUGUGGGGUGCUCGAGUGGCGAACGGGUGAGUAACACGUGAGUAACCUGCCCUUGACUUUGGGAUAACUUCAGGAAACUGGGGCUAAUACCGGAUAGGAGCUCCUGCUGCAUGGUGGGGGUUGGAAAGUUUCGGCGGUUGGGGAUGGACUCGCGGCUUAUCAGCUUGUUGGUGGGGUAGUGGCUUACCAAGGCUUUGACGGGUAGCCGGCCUGAGAGGGUGACCGGCCACAUUGGGACUGAGAUACGGCCCAGACUCCUACGGGAGGCAGCAGUGGGGAAUAUUGCACAAUGGGCGGAAGCCUGAUGCAGCAACGCCGCGUGCGGGAUGACGGCCUUCGGGUUGUAAACCGCUGUCGCCUGUGACGAAGCGUGAGUGACGGUAAUGGGUAAAGAAGCACCGGCUAACUACGUG